CCUACUGGCGGCUGCAGUGGGGAAUAUUGGACAAUGGGCGAAAGCCUGAUCCAGCCAUGCCGCGUGUGUGAAGAAGGCCUUCGGGUUGUAAAGCACUUUCAGUGGGGAAGAAAGCCUUGGGGCUAAUACCCUCGAGGAAGGACAUCACCCACAGAAGAAGCACCGGCUAACUCCGUGCCAGCAGCCGCGGUAAUACGGAGGGUGCGAGCGUUAAUCGGAAUUACUGGGCGUAAAGCGCGCGUAGGCGGUCUGAUAAGCCGGUUGUGAAAGCCCCGGGCUCAACCUGGGAACGGCAUCCGGAACUGUCAGGCUAGAGUGCAGGAGAGGAAGGUAGAAUUCCCGGUGUAGCGGUGAAAUGCGUAGAGAUCGGGAGGAAUACCAGUGGCGAAGGCGGCCUUCUGGACUGACACUGACGCUGAGGUGCGAAAGCGUGGGUAGCAAACAGGAUUAGAUACCCCGGUAGUC
rnacentral:rRNA from 1 species